GACGAACGCUGGCGGCGUGCUUAACACAUGCAAGUCGAGCGGAGCGGCGAACGGGUGAGUAACGCGUGAGUAACUGCCCCCCUCUCUGGGCUAACAGUUGGAAACGGCUGCACAUACCGGAUAGUGGGGGAUGACUCGCGUCGUAUCAGCUUGUUGGUGGGGUAGUGGCAUACCAAGGCGACGACGGGUAGCCGGCCUGAGAGUGCGACCGGCCACAGUGGGCUGAGAUACGGCCCAAAGUCCUACGGGAGGAAGAAGUGGGGAAUAUUGCACAAUGGGCGAAAGCCUGAUGCAGCGACGCCGCGGGGGGGAUGAAGGCUUUCGGGUUGUAAACCUCUUUCGCUAUCGAAAGGGUAGGUGGAGAAGAAGCGCCGGCUAACUACGUGCCAGCAGCCGCGGUAAUAC
rnacentral:rRNA from 1 species